CAUGGUACUUGACAAAAGCCUUCAUAGCGA
rnacentral:piRNA from 1 species